rnacentral:rRNA from 1 species
UACGGAGGGUGCAAGCGUUAUCCGGAUUUACUGGGUUUAAAGGGUGUGUAGGCGGGCUUUUAAGUCAGUGGUGAAAUCUCCGGGCUCAACCUGGAAACUGCCAUUGAUACUAUUAGUCUUGAAUUUUGUUGAGGUAGGCGGAAUAAGUCAUGUAGCGGUGAAAUGCAUAGAUAUGACUUAGAACACCAAUUACGAAGGCAGCUUGCUAAACAAAUAUUGACGCUGAGGCACGAAAGCGUGGGGAUCAAACAGG